rnacentral:rRNA from 1 species
GACGAACGCUGGCGGCGUGCCUAAUACAUGCAAGUUGAGCGCUGAAGGUUGGUACUUGUACCCACUGGAUGAGCAGCGAACGGGUGAGUAACGCGUGGGGAAUCUGCCUUUGAGCGGGGGACAACAUUUGGAAACGAAUGCUAAUACCGCAUAAAAACUUUAAACACAAGUUUUAAGUUUGAAAGAUGCAAUUGCAUCACUCAAAGAUGAUCCCGCGUUGUAUUAGCUAGUUGGUGAGGUAAAGGCUCACCAAGGCGAUGAUACAUAGCCGACCUGAGAGGGUGAUCGACCACAUUGGGACUGGGACAAGGCCCAAACUCCUACGGGAGGCCACAGUAGGGAAUCUUCGGACAUGGACGAAAGUCUGACCGAGCAACGCCGGGUGAGUGAAGAAGGUUUUCGGAUCGUAAAACUCUGUUGGUAGAGAAGGACGUUGGGGAGAGUGGAAAGCUCAUCAAGUGACGGUAACUACCCAGAAAGGGACGGCUAACUACGUG